GACCUCAGGUCAGGCGGGGCUACCCGCUGAGUUUAAGCAUAUCAAUAAGCGGAGGAGAAU
rnacentral:rRNA from 1 species